rnacentral:rRNA from 1 species
UUGAAGAGUUUGAUCAUGGCUCAGAUUGAACGCUGGCGGCAGGCCUAACACAUGCAAGUCGAGCGGAAACGAGUUAUCUGAACCUUCGGGGAACGAUAACGGCGUCGAGCGGCGGACGGGUGAGUAAUGCCUAGGAAAUUGCCCUGAUGUGGGGGAUAACCAUUGGAAACGAUGGCUAAUACCGCAUGAUGCCUACGGGCCAAAGAGGGGGACCUUCGGGCCUCUCGCGUCAGGAUAUGCCUAGGUGGGAUUAGCUAGUUGGUGAGGUAAGGGCUCACCAAGGCGACGAUCCCUAGCUGGUCUGAGAGGAUGAUCAGCCACACUGGAACUGAGACACGGUCCAGACUCCUACGGGAGGCAGCAGUGGGGAAUAUUGCACAAUGGGCGCAAGCCUGAUGCAGCCAUGCCGCGUGUGUGAAGAAGGCCUUCGGGUUGUAAAGCACUUUCAGUCGUGAGGAAGGUAGUGUAGUUAAUAGCUGCAUUAUUUGACGUUAGCGACAGAAGAAGCACCGGCUAACUCCGUGCCAGCAGCCGCGGUAAUACGGAGGGUGCGAGCGUUAAUCGGAAUUACUGGGCGUAAAGCGCAUGCAGGUGGUUUGUUAAGUCAGAUGUGAAAGCCCGGGGCUCAACCUCGGAAUAGCAUUUGAAACUGGCAGACUAGAGUACUGUAGAGGGGGGUAGAAUUUCAGGUGUAGCGGUGAAAUGCGUAGAGAUCUGAAGGAAUACCGGUGGCGAAGGCGGCCCCCUGGACAGAUACUGACACUCAGAUGCGAAAGCGUGGGGAGCAAACAGGAUUAGAUACCCUGGUAGUCCACGCCGUAAACGAUGUCUACUUGGAGGUUGUGGCCUUGAGCCGUGGCUUUCGGAGCUAACGCGUUAAGUAGACCGCCUGGGGAGUACGGUCGCAAGAUUAAAACUCAAAUGAAUUGACGGGGGCCCGCACAAGCGGUGGAGCAUGUGGUUUAAUUCGAUGCAACGCGAAGAACCUUACCUACUCUUGACAUCCAGAGAACUUUCCAGAGAUGGAUUGGUGCCUUCGGGAACUCUGAGACAGGUGCUGCAUGGCUGUCGUCAGCUCGUGUUGUGAAAUGUUGGGUUAAGUCCCGCAACGAGCGCAACCCUUAUCCUUGUUUGCCAGCGAGUAAUGUCGGGAACUCCAGGGAGACUGCCGGUGAUAAACCGGAGGAAGGUGGGGACGACGUCAAGUCAUCAUGGCCCUUACGAGUAGGGCUACACACGUGCUACAAUGGCGCAUACAGAGGGCAGCCAACUUGCGAAAGUGAGCGAAUCCCAAAAAGUGCGUCGUAGUCCGGAUUGGAGUCUGCAACUCGACUCCAUGAAGUCGGAAUCGCUAGUAAUCGUGGAUCAGAAUGCCACGGUGAAUACGUUCCCGGGCCUUGUACACACCGCCCGUCACACCAUGGGAGUGGGCUGCAAAAG